UACAGAGGUGGCAAGCGUUGUUCGGAAUUACUGGGCGUAAAGGGCGCGUAGGCGGCCUUCUAAGUCAGACGUGAAAUCCCCCGGCUUAACCUGGGAACUGCGUCUGAUACUGGAGGGCUUGAGUGCGGGAGAGGGAUGUGGAAUUCCAGGUGUAGCGGUGAAAUGCGUAGAUAUCUGGAGGAACACCGGUGGCGAAGGCGGCAUCCUGGACCGACACUGACGCUGAGAAGCGAAAGCAUGGGGAGCGAACAGG
rnacentral:rRNA from 1 species